GUGCGUCGGUGUGAGUAACCAUGGUUAUGUAUUUUGACAUUUUCAGUUUAUUCUAAUCUUCACAAAUACAAUAUUUUCAAAAACAAUAUCAACGUUACUAGAAACUACCAACUAAGGAACUUAUCCCUUUUACAAGGAAAACAGUAAGUUCUUCCAGCGACACAAAGGAAUUUGUCCACGCAUUUGUGAUUAAGUUUUGUAACUUUAUUAAACAAUUACACUUCAUAUAUUAUUUAUGACACUCGGGUCUCGAAAUGAUGUUCUGUUUUCACCUUGGGUAAAACUGUCAACAGCAAAAGGAAUUAUUAAUUAGCGUGGGACAUGAAUCGAAGUAAUCAAAGACAGGGAGACAUAUAAAAUAGUUCACUGCCACAUACCAGAGCCAGAAAUUAAUUGGCAAAACAUUUGCUUUUCAAAAGAAGAGAUACCAUACUAUCCUCUACAAUAACCUUAUUUCGAAAACCAAUUACGUUUCUAGAAGUUUAUCUUCAACAUGGAACCAGUUAAGUUGAUACGUGUACUUUAUAAAGCAGAUUCGCUAAUAAAGAGACGAAAGGCUGAUGGGAGCUGGAGCAAAUAUAGUCUUCGUUAGAUAUAACUCGGUUCGAAGAUGUAUAAAGUGUCAAUAUAAGGUGACGAAAAGUUGGAAACAACAGCAAAUCAAUGCUCAUAAUUAACAAUAGCUGCGUCAUAAGAAGCCUUUCCAUGAACCCUGUAAGAAAGAGAGGAAGACCUAAAACAACAUGGAGACAUACCAUAGAAAAUGGGAUAUACCUGGGGCACAGUGGAAAGAACAGCAAACAUCAGAGAAGAGUGGAGGAAACUUGUCCUUGCCCUGUAUGCCAUAUGGUGAAGCAAGAAUUAAGUUUGGAAGAGGUAUCAUUUCUUAGCAGUGAUAAUAGGUGGAUAAAUAUACUACAUAGCUUAUGAAAUCAAUGCCUGGAAGGACAUCAACAACCUAUAAAGACAGGAAUGAAGUUGUUUCCUAAUCAAAUAAACAACUGCAGCGUACAUAAUCAAUGAAGAUAGAAUUAUCUUUUCAAGGUCUGUGAGGGAAAGC